GUGCUCGCUUCAGCAGCAUAGAUACUAACAUCGGAACGAUACAGAAAAGGCUAGCAUGGCUCCUGCGCAAAGAAGACAUGAAAAUUUGGGAAGCAUUCCAUAUUUUU
ensembl:snRNA U6 U6 spliceosomal RNA